GUCUGAGAUUGGUGGACGGGGGAAUACUGCUCAACACACAAGUUGAAAGGAAACACACGAACAAGGUGGAAGAACAAGUUUAUGCAAUCUACACAUGGAGGGGAAAGCUACUCUUUGGUUUCUGCUGGCGCUUUUGCUGCUAGGAAACUGCACUCACGCUGAGAAAUGCAAAACACGACUUACAUCAAGUGCAUCGUGCAUAACUGAUCAUUGUAGACAGGACUGCAUGAAUACCUACAAAGGGAAAAUUGUCAAGGAGGCUUAUUGUACUGGUUAUUCUACCUCUCUGUUUUGUGCCUGCGUCGUUUGUGACCAGAAGUAUAAACAUGCAAGGCGAUGAUGCAACAUUGCAUUUUUGGAGUCAUUUAUUUUUCAAAACAACGCAUGAGAUAAUGAAUUAAUGAAAUUUAAC